CUCCGAAACGUCCUUUUCUUCCUGCCGCCGUUUAUAAUUAAACACACACAAUUAUCCCAAAUUUAAUGGGAUUCCAGAACCAGGCCUUUAUUUAAGAGGGUCACUGUGUAACGGUUACUAAUUGUGGAGUCAUCGAGUAGGGGAGGAGAGGGGGCCUAAGCACAUUUUAAACAUAUGGCCUCUGUCCUAUUGUUUAUUGAUGUCGGUAAUUAAUGAUAUAAUGCACGCCACUGAAGUAGUUUGACCUCUGAACCGAUCAUUAUUCAGAAUGUAGCAGCAUCAAUCAAGCUGUGCUUUUCUCACAUGUAUUUCUGUACACCCCCUGAGGGACAGGCAGGGCACCCACUGUAUCCUCAUUUGUAUUCAGCUGACCAAGACCAUAUAUGAAUGAUUUAGAAGUGCGUAUCAGACGUGGACUGAAGGGAGAAGCGGUAAUAUGAGAUUUUACAAGCUCCUGCUAAAGUUGAUGAGGACUACGGCUUCUACUUCUGCGCCUCCAAACUCCAAAUAAAGUCAUUUUCUUUAUAGGAUCAUGGUGUAUUUACUGCUUUUUCUCUCAAUUCCACCACAGAAACAUUGUGUACUUACUUGUCUUUGGGAGAUGCAUCCAGUAAUGACAAGCUCAGCGGCGUUAUUCACCCUCUCCGCAUCAUAAUGACCAUAUGAGCGUCUGCCUUUUGGAUGGAGUGCCGGCCAGAUUGUUCGGGCGAUCUGGAGGGAGCGACGCGCAUCGCUGCCCAGCCUGAGGUUUGGAGGUGGUGUUGAUGUCCCACUCCACCAAGCAUCCCAGGCUCUCCUCAGGACGGGAGUAUUAGAAUAGGUCAUUUCAUUGUUAAUUUAAAUGGCUUAAUACAUCACUCUGAGGUAACAGACUGAUGUGUGAGCAGCAGAGGGAGAUGGUGUGAGAGAUGCCAUGGGCUGUUUCUGUAAUACCAAAUGAAAUGAACUCCUGCAUUACCUCACUUAUGCAGUUUCUCAAGCAGCUCCCAGGCUAUUAAAGGAGAGCCGGAACAGGAUUGGUUCAGUCUUUGGAAUCUUUAAUUUCACCGCGGCCCCCCAAAUGUUAGGUCUUUGUCUCAUUGCUGAUCCCUGGCUGAUCUAUGGUGUUGUCUUUAUCCCGCCCGCGGUCCACUGCGGCCGUGUGUUGUGUUAUUGGGUCAGGUGAAUCUAUCAAGGACAGAGAGCCUGGGCAGUUCACACACCGGGGGGAUAAUUACAGGGUGAUUGGUUUCCUCGCGCUCUCUGCUCCUACUAUCUGUGUCUCCUCUCUGUUAGCCGUGCCCUCGCGUAGACGCACUCAGCAUGUCUGCCAAAAAGCCGCCUAGUCCCGGGGACCUCGGCCCUCCUACCUGUUCUGUCUUGGGGGGCUUUGCUUUUAAACAGCUGUGUUUGUUUAAUAGAAAACAUGCGCUGCAUUGUUUACAGAUUGUUUGCGGGUUUAUUCACACCAGCGCGAUUGGCUGGGACUCAGAAGACGGCUAGCUUUAAUUUGCCGCCACCGUUUCUACUGCUAUUAUUAACCUAACCUUUUGCCAUGAAUAAUUCAUCACAGUUACCGUCUGAUCUCACACAUUUUCUGUCUCAUUUGGCCUUGAAUCGUCUCAUCUGCUGGUCCGUUCUGGGUCAUAACAACACGUUCUCACAAUCAGCUGGUUCAGAGGGAACAACCGUUAUUUUAUAAAACUAGUUACAGAUCAUUUAAAGGGCUAUUUUGACAUUUUGGUAAAUACUCACAUUCCUUCUCGUUGAAAGAUAGUUGGGAGAAGCAAUGUAAAUGAUAUCUAUUCAUCUCUAAUACAGAUCUAUCAUCACAUACACACUGGAUCUGAUAUCAGCAAAAGAGUCAAAACGUCUGUCUGAAAAAACUCAUUUUCAUACAUUUUGUUAUAAAUCCUUCAUGACAUUAAAAAUCGCUGAUGUAAUAUUCAUGUCUGAACUAAGUUGUUUUGUGUCUGU
ensembl:lncRNA